AAUCAAGCGUCUUAAGGGCAUUUGGUGGAUGCCUUGGCGCGCAGAGGCGAUGAAGGACGUGGCACGCUGCGAUAAGCCAUGGGGAGCUGUGAGCAAGCUUUGAUCCGUGGAUUUCCGAAUGGGGAAACCCAACCCGCAAGGGUUAUCGUUACCUGAAUACAUAGGGUAACGAAGCGAACCCGGGGAACUGAAACAUCUCAGUACCCGGAGGAAAGGACAUCAACCGAGACUCCGUUAGUAGUGGCGAGCGAACGCGGACCAGGCCAAUGCCUGGAGUCUUCUAACUGGAACCGUCUGGAAAGUCGGGCCUUAGCGGGUGAUAGCCCCGUACAGGUGUUGAAGAUUUCAGGAUACGAGUAGGGCGGGACACGUGAAAUCCUGUCUGAACAUGGGGGGGCCACCCUCCAA
rnacentral:rRNA from 1 species